rnacentral:rRNA from 1 species
GACGAACGCUGGCGGCGUGCUUAACACAUGCAAGUCGAACGGAAAGGCCCUGCUUGCAGGGUGCUCGAGUGGCGAACGGGUGAGUAACACGUGGGUGAUCUGCCCCUUACUUUGGGAUAAGCCUGGGAAACUGGGUCUAAUACUGGAUAGGACCAUGCUGUAGGUGGUGUGGUGGAAAGAUUAGUUUCGGUAAGGGAUGAGCUCGCGGCCUAUCAGCUUGUUGGUGGGGUAAUGGCCUACCAAGGCGUCGACGGGUAGCCGGCCUGAGAGGGUGGACGGCCACAUUGGGACUGAGAUACGGCCCAGACUCCUACGGGAGGCAGCAGUGGGGAAUAUUGCACAAUGGGCGCAAGCCUGAUGCAGCGACGCCGCGUGGGGGAUGACGGCCUUCGGGUUGUAGACUCCUUUCAGCCAUGACGAAGCCCUUGUGGUGACGGUAGUGGGAGAAGAAGCACCGGCUAACUACGUG